UACGUAGGGUGCAGGCGUUUAAUCGGAAUUACUGGGCGUAAAGCGUGCGCAGGCGGUUGUGCAAGACAGAUGUGAAAUCCCCGGGCUUAACCUGGGAACUGCAUUUGUGACUGCACGGCUAGAGUGCGGCAGAGGGGGAUGGAAUUCCGCGUGUAGCAGUGAAAUGCGUAGAUAUGCGGAGGAACACCGAUGGCGAAGGCAAUCCCCUGGGCCUGCACUGACGCUCAUGCACGAAAGCGUGGGGAGCAAACAGG
rnacentral:rRNA from 1 species